CCUACGGGCGGCAGCAGUGAGGAAUAUUGGUCAAUGGACGCAAGUCUGAACCAGCCAUGCCGCGUGCAGGAAGACGGCUCUAUGAGUUGUAAACUGCUUUUGUACGAGGGUAAACGCAGAUACGCGUAUCUGUCUGAAAGUAUCGUACGAAUAAGGAUCGGCUAACUCCGUGCCAGCAGCCGCGGUAAUACGGAUGAUUCAAGCGUUAUCCGGAUUUAUUGGGUUUAAAGGGUGCGUAGGCGGUCGGAUAAGUUAGAGGUGAAAUCCCGAGGCUCAACUUCGGAAUUGCCUUGGAUACUGUUAGGCUAGAGAGUAGUUGCGGUAGGCGGAAUGUAUGGUGUAGCGGUGAAAUGCUUAGAGAUCAUACAGAACACCGAUUGCGAAGGCAGCUUACCAGGCUACUUCUGACGUUGAGGCACGAAAGCGUGGGGAGCAAACAGGAUUAGAUACCCCGGUAGUC
rnacentral:rRNA from 1 species